rnacentral:rRNA from 1 species
CCUACGGGAGGCAGCAGUGGGGAAUAUUGGGCAAUGGGCGCAAGCCUGACCCAGCAAAGCCGCGUGAAGGAAGAAGGCCCUCGGGUUGUAAACUUCUUUUAACAGGGACGCAGAAAGUGACGGUACCUGUUGAAUAAGCAACGGCUAACUACGUGCCAGCAGCCGCGGUAAUACGGAGGUGGCAAGCGUUACCCGGAUUUACUGGGUGAAAAGGGCGUGUAGGCGGGAGAGGAAGUCAGACGGUAAAUUCCAGGGCUCAACCCUGGAACGGCGUUUGAAACUGUUCUUCUUGAGGGAUGGAGAGGCAUGCGGAAUUCCGGGUGUAGCGGUGAAAUGCGUAGAUAUACGGCGGAACACCAGUGGCGAAGGCGGCCUGCUGGACAUUAACUGACGCUGAGGCGCGAAAGCGUGGGGAGCAAACAGGAUUAGAUACCCUGGUAGUC